UGGCGGCUGCCUUACACAUGCAAGUCGAACGGCAGCACGGGGCAACCCUGGUGGCGAGUGGCGAACGGGUGAGUAAUAUAUCGGAACGUAUCCAAUAAUGGGGGAUAACUAGUCGAAAGAUUAGCUAAUACCGCAUACGCCCUGAGGGGGAAAGCUGGGGAUCUUCGGACCUAGCGUUAAUGGAGCGGCCGAUAUCUGAUUAGCUAGUUGGUGGGGUAAAGGCCCACCAAGGCGACGAUCAGUAGCUGGUCUGAGAGGACGACCAGCCACACUGGAACUGAGACACGGUCCAGACUCCUACGGGAGGCAGCAGUGGGGAAUUUUGGACAAUGGGCGAAAGCCUGAUCCAGCCAUUCCGCGUGAGUGAAGAAGGCCUUCGGGUUGUAAAGCUCUUUCGCAAGGGAAGAAACGUUACGAGCGAAUAACUCGUGAUAAUGACGGUACCUUGAUAAGAAGCACCGGCUAACUACGUGCCAGCAGCCGCGGUAAUACGUAGGGUGCGAGCGUUAAUCGGAAUUACUGGGCGUAAAGCGUGCGCAGGCGGUGUUGUAAGACAGUUGUGAAAUCCCCGGGCUCAACCUGGGAACUGCAUCUGUGACUGCAAUGCUGGAGUGCGGCAGAGGGGGAUGGAAUUCUGCGUGUAGCAGUGAAAUGCGUAGAUAUGCGGAGGAACACCGAUGGCGAAGGCAAUCCCCUGGGCCUGCACUGACGCUCAUGCACGAAAGCGUGGGGAGCAAACAGGAUUAGAUACCCUGGUAGUCCACGCCGUAAACGAUGAAUGCUAGCCGUUGGGGGGUUUACCCUUCAGUGGCGCAGCUAACGCUUUAAGCAUUCCGCCUGGGGAGUACGGUCGCAAGAUUAAAACUCAAACGAAUUGACGG
rnacentral:rRNA from 1 species